GAUAAACUAGAAGUGUCAAACAACGUGUGAUUUAGAGUCUUCUAAUAGAAAUAAACAUUGGCUCCAUUGAGAAGAAAAUGUGCAAGACAUCUGUUGGACUAAGAGGAAUGGCAUUCAGCUGCUGAAGAAUUUUGCAAUUCUGUAAUUAGGCAUAUGAAUUUUAAGAGGUAAAAAUCUCUAGGGCCGUGAGAUAGAUGUGAGUAUAUUUCUUUCCUCUCCCACAGUCCAUGUGGAGGCUCAGCAUUCUUUAGUGACAUCGGGAUUAUUUCACAGGAAAAAGCAUAUCUGCUGGAAAGUGACAGAGGACAGACGGCUGCUUUCAAAAAGAGUCUGAGACAGCUGGUGAGAUCACUGAACCCGGCAGGCAGUAAGGGAGGAAGAGAUGGUUCUUGACCCCGGCAGGGCGGAGGUCAGAGCUGCAGCACCAGAGCUCUCAUGGUAUCUUCUCAGGCUAAUAAAAUUAAGACGUCUACUUCAGGUCAGAGAGACCACAAAACUCACCUGAGACAACUGAGCUAUUAAGAAGUGGAGUCUAUUGAAGGCCUGAAUAGAACAAAAUGGUGGAGAAAAUGAGGA
rnacentral:lncRNA from 1 species